GAUGAACGCUGGCGGCGUGCCUAAUACAUGCAAGUCGAGCGAACGGACGAGAAGCUUGCGUCUCUGAUGUUAGCGGCGGACGGGUGAGUAACACGUGGAUAACCUACCUAUAAUACUGGGAUAACUUCGGGAAACCGGAGCUAAUACCGGAUAAUAUUUUGAACCGCAUGGUUCAAAAGUGAAAGACGGUCUUGCUGUCACUUAUAGAUGGAUCCGCGCUGCAUUAGCUAGUUGGUAAGGUAACGGCUUACCAAGGCAACGAUGCAUAGCCGACCUGAGAGGGUGAUCGGCCACACUGGAACUGAGACACGGUCCAGACUCCUACGGGAGGCAGCAGUAGGGAAUCUUCCGCAAUGGGCGAAAGCCUGACGGAGCAACGCCGCGUGAGUGAUGAAGGUCUUCGGAUCGUAAAACUCUGUUAUUAGGGAAGAACAUAUGUGUAAGUAACUGUGCACAUCUUGACGGUACCUAAUCAGAAAGCCACGGCUAACUACGUG
rnacentral:rRNA from 1 species